UACGUAGGGGGCUAGCGUUGUCCGGAAUCAUUGGGCGUAAAGAGCGUGUAGGCGGUCCGGUAAGUCCGUUGUGAAAGUCAGGGGCUCAACCCUUGAAUGGCCGGCCGGGAUACUGUCGGGGCUAGGAGUCCGGAAGAGGCGAGUGGAAGUUCCCGGUGUGAGCGGUGAAAGUGCGCAGAUAUCGGGAGGAACACCUAUGGCGAAGGCAGCUCGCUGGGACGGUACUGACGCUGAGACGCGAAAGCGUGGGGGAGCAAACAGG
rnacentral:rRNA from 1 species